UACGGAGGGUGCAAGCGUUGUCCGGAUUUAUUGGGUUUAAAGGGUGCGUAGGCGGCUUUUUAAGUCAGUGGUGAAAGACAACAGCUCAACUGUUGCAGUGCCAUUGAUACUGAAGAGCUUGAGUACAGAUGAGGUAGGCGGAAUUUAUGGUGUAGCGGUGAAGUGCAUAGAUACCAUAAAGAACACCUAUUGCGAAGGCAGCUUACUAAGCUGUAACUGACGCUGAGGCACGAAAGUGUGGGGAUCAAACAGG
rnacentral:rRNA from 1 species